rnacentral:rRNA from 1 species
UGCCUGCCAGUGACCAUGUGUUCAACGGCCGCGGUAUUCUGACCGCGCGAAGGUAGCGUAAUCACUUGUUUUUUAAAUAAAGACUAGUAUGAACGGCCCCACGAGGACCUAACUGUCUCCUUAGUCCAAUCAGUGAAACUGAUCUCCUCGUGCAGAAGCGAGGAUUUUACCAUAAGACGAGAAGACCCUAUGGAGCUUUAAACUUUUAUUAAUGAUCUUCUUCACCCCUCUAAGGAAUUAACAACCAAUUUGAUUUGUUUAAUAAAAGUUUUGGGUUGGGGCGACCAUGGAGAAAAAAAUAUCCUCCCUGAUGAAAACCUAACCAAGAGCCACAGCUCUAAGUAUUAAGACACUUAACUCUUAUUGACCCAUUUUAUGAUCAACGAACCAAGUUACCCUAGGGAUAACAGCGCAAUCCAUUUCAAGAGUCCCUAUCGACAAAUGGGUUUACGACCUCGAUGUUGGAUCAGGGCAUCCAAGUGGUGCAACCGCUACUAAAGGUUCGUUUGUUCAACGAUUAAAGCCCUACGUGAUCG